GAUGAACGCUGGCGGCGUGCCUAAUACAUGCAAGUCGAGCGAACAGAUAAGGAGCUUGCUCCUUUGACGUUAGCGGCGGACGGGUGAGUAACACGUGGGUAACCUACCUAUAAGACUGGGAUAACUUCGGGAAACCGGAGCUAAUACCGGAUAACAUUUGGAACCGCAUGGUUCUAAAGUGAGAGAUGGUUUUGCUAUCACUUAUAGAUGGACCCGCGCCGUAUUAGCUAGUUGGUAAGGUAACGGCUUACCAAGGCAACGAUACGUAGCCGACCUGAGAGGGUGAUCGGCCACACUGGAACUGAGACACGGUCCAGACUCCUACGGGAGGCAGCAGUAGGGAAUCUUCCGCAAUGGGCGAAAGCCUGACGGAGCAACGCCGCGUGAGUGAUGAAGGGUUUCGGCUCGUAAAACUCUGUUAUUAGGGAAGAACAAACGUGUAAGUAACUGUGCACGUCUUGACGGUACCUAAUCAGAAAGCCACGGCUAACUACGUG
rnacentral:rRNA from 1 species